CACAAUUUCACAGUCUUCUCCUUCUCUUUCUCCUCCUCCUCCUAUUCUUCACCUUCAUUUCCUUAAACUAACACGCUCUAAUUCCAAUCCAAUCUAAACCAACCCAUUGUCUUCCGUCGGUUGAUACAGUUUUCAGAUCUAAUCAAUUCAAUCGGAGACGAGAUUCUGACCCGAUCGCACCUUACUUUGUUUCAUUGGUACACGCUAAGAGAGAUAGAACGAUGUCGUGUUCUUCUUCGUCAGGUUCUGAAUCCGAGGACGAUGAGGGAAUCGAUUCUUACAGGAAAGGUGGUUAUCAUGCCGUUAGAGUUGGCGAUCAGUUCGCUGGUGGCCGUUAUAUCGCCCAGGGGAAGCUUGGCUGGGGCCAGUUCUCCACAGUUUGGCUCGCUUAUGAUACUCAAUCCUCUAAUUAUGUUGCACUUAAAAUCCAGAAAAGUGCAUCACAAUUUGCUCAAGCUGCCCUUCACGAAAUUGAAGUCCUCUCAUCUAUAGCUAAUGGUGAUCCCUCCAAUUCGAAAUGUGUCGUGCGAUUGAUCGACCACUUCAAGCAUGCAGGACCAAAUGGGCACCAUCACUGCAUGGUCCUUGAAUUUCUUGGUGACAGCUUGCUGCGGCUAAUCAGGCAUAGUCGUUACAAAGGUCUAGAAUUGAAUAAAGUUAGAGAGAUAUGCAAAUGCAUUUUGAUAGGCCUGGAUUACUUGCAUAGAGAACUCUGUUUGAUCCACAAUGAUCUAAAACCUGAAAAUAUUCUUCUCUAUUCCACUAUUGAUCCUGCCAAGGAUCCAAUUAGAUCUGGGCUCACACCAAUUCUUCAAAGGCCUGAAGGUAGCCUUAAUGGUGGAUCUACAAUGAAUAUCAUUGAGAAGAAGCUGAAAAGGAGAGCAAAGAGGGCAAUUGCUAAGAUUUCAGAAAGAAGAGCUUCAAUGGGAGGAGCUACGGAAAAACCAAAGAAAUGCUUGGAUGGGGUUGAUGUCAGGUGCAAGGUUGUUGAUUUUGGAAAUGCAUGCUGGGCUGAUAAGCAGUUUGCAGAAGAAAUUCAAACGAGGCAGUAUAGAGCUCCUGAAGUCAUUCUGCGGUCUGGAUAUUCCUUCUCUGUUGAUAUGUGGUCAUUUGCUUGCACUGCUUUUGAGCUUGCUACAGGUGACAUGAUGUUUGCUCCCAAGGGUGGACAGGGUUUUAGUGAGGAUGAGGUAGGAUCUAUGCUCUAGCAUUGUCAGAAAUCAUGAUUAUUCUAAUAAUUUAUAUUUAUUUUCUUAUCUUUAAAUGCAAUUUAUAUGUGAUAUGGUGUUAGUUGUAGAAAAUAGCAAAUUAAGAAGACUAUGGUUAUGGAAGGUAGGGAAGAAAGAAAUGAAAAUUGUUACCAUGCAGAGAAUUAUUAUGGUAAAUGAUGUUUGCUUGAUUUAUGCCUUUCUUUAUCGUUUUAUCCAUCUUUGCAGCAAGAUUGACAAAUCCUAUUUUUCCUUUCAUUUUUAACAGUUUUUGUGAUGGAAAAAUAUAAAGAAAAGCAGAUGGUUGGUGGGAAGUUGACUUACACCUGGUUUAGCUUUUCUUUCUUUUUCUAGAACUCAAUUAAAUUAAUGAGAUAUUUCUGGAGUAGAUUUUGGCUUGUCUAGGGAGAGAGAUGUUUGAGUAAACCUGGUUUUUAAUAUAGACUGAUUUUGAAUUUCUAUAGAUGAUCGAUGUUCACCUUCAUCUUUAAUUAAUUACAUUUGAAUUAUCUGCAAAAUGAAACAUGUAGAAUCAUAGGUUGUAUUAUAGACUUAUCGUGAUUCUUGACAUGACUGGUUGAUUUGUCUUGCUCUUAGUAUGCCAAUUUUGUUGUCACCUAACCAUGUUUGUGUGGUAAUGCCAAAUCUCUGAGCUUGUACCUACAUGGUGUAAUAAUGCGAGUGUAUUUUGGUUUUAGGAUCACCUUGCUCUAAUGAUGGAACUCCUUGGAAAGAUGCCCCGAAAGGUAUGGUCAUAAUAUUUUAAUGGCUUCCAAUAUUAAUUCAACUUUUUGUUGCCCAUUUACCUCUUAGUUCUUGCAUAAGCAGAUAGCCGUAGGAGGAGCGCGAUCCAAGGAUUUCUUCGAUAGGUAUGGAGAUCUAAAGAGGAUUCGAAGGCUGAAGUUUUGGCCACUUGAUCGCUUGUUGGUUGAUAAAUACAAAUUUUCCGAGAAUGAAGCUCGGGAGUUUGCAGAAUUUCUUUGUCCCCUUCUCGAUUUUAUACCAGAGAAGCGGCCCACUGCUCAGCAGUGCCUGCAACACCCUUGGCUCAAUCUCAGAACUUCUGCACAGAUUGAGAUGAAAAAAGGUGAUAUAGAAAAAUUGCAUGUAGGGAUGAGCAACCUUCAACUAAAGGUGGGCAAGUGAAGAAGGGAUCCAUGGUCUUUGCACCAUUUUCAAGUCCCUCCCUCUACCUAUAUGGAUAUUGAUUGUAUUUUUUUGGUUUUC
rnacentral:misc_RNA from 1 species